rnacentral:rRNA from 1 species
GAGGAACGCUGGCGGCGUGCUUAACACAUGCAAGUCGAACGGUAAGGCCCUUCGGGGUACACGAGUGGCGAACGGGUGAGUAACACGUGGGUGAUCUGCCCUGCACUUCGGGAUAAGCCUGGGAAACUGGGUCUAAUGCCGGAUAGGACCACUGCCUGCAUGGGUGGUGGUGGAAAGCUUUUGCGGUGUGGGAUGGGCCCGCGGCCUAUCAGCUUGUUGGUGGGGUGAUGGCCUACCAAGGCGACGACGGGUAGCCGGCCUGAGAGGGUGAGCGGCCACACUGGGACUGAGAUACGGCCCAGACUCCUACGGGAGGCAGCAGUGGGGAAUAUUGCACAAUGGGCGCAAGCCUGAUGCAGCGACACCGCGUGAGGGAUGACGGCCUUCGGGUUGUAAACCUCUUUCAGCACCGACGAAGCGCAAGUGACGGUAGGUGCAGAAGAAGGACCGGCCAACUACGUGCCAGCCGCCGCAGUAA